rnacentral:rRNA from 1 species
CGUUUAGGGGUAAACCUGAGAAACCCGAAAGGUCGAAGGAAGAAAUUCAUUCGCGUUUCGAAGCGGAAGUCGGACGAUCGAGUGACGGAAAGGUGGCGUUUCGUGCGACGUUUUUCCGCAUCUUUCGUUCGUCGAAUCCGUUACGAGGGCGUGCACUUUUCUUCUGGUAGGACGUCGCGAUCCGUCGGGUGUCGGUCUAAGACCUAACGGUGGAGCCCGUUCGUUUCGAUUUCGAAACGAAUGGACCCGUUUAUGUUCCGACCGACUCGCUCGACGGUAUACGAAUGGUCCGAGGCCGCUCUUUUAGAGCGUCCGACUCGUCGCAAGCGCGUCGGAUGUUUGUCGGUGAUCGGACGUUUUGCCGAUUCCGACCUCCGAUGACUGUUGGCGGCGAAGUUCUCGGACAGACCUCGUGUUUAUAUGACCGAUCGGCGACGCUAUAGCUUUGGGUAAUUUCAGGACCCGUCUUGAAACACGGACCAAGGAGUCUAGCAUGUACGCGAGUCAUUGGGAAUUAUUAAACCUAAAGGCGUAAUGAAAGUGAAGGUUUUCCUCGCGAAGACCAAGGGAAGACGAGCGGGUUUUUGCCCUUAAAAGCGACCGCUUCGCAUUCCCGGGGCGUCUCGUUCUCUUCGUCGUUGUUAAAUGCGACGUUCGAGAAGAGGCGCACCAAGAGCGUACACGCUGGGACCCGAAAGAUGGUGAACUAUGCCUGGU